rnacentral:rRNA from 1 species
GACGAACGCUGGCGGCGUGCUUAACACAUGCAAGUCGAACGGAAAGGCCCUGCUUUUGUGGGGUGCUCGAGUGGCGAACGGGUGAGUAACACGUGAGUAACCUGCCCUUGACUUUGGGAUAACUUCAGGAAACUGGGGCUAAUACCGGAUAGGAGCUCCAGCUGCAUGGUGGGGGUUGGAAAGUUUCGGCGGUUGGGGAUGGACUCGCGGCUUAUCAGCUUGUUGGUGGGGUAGUGGCUUACCAAGGCUUUGACGGGUAGCUGGCCUGAGAGGGUGACCGGCCACAUUGGGACUGAGAUACGGCCCAGACUCCUACGGGAGGCAGCAGUGGGGAAUAUUGCACAAUGGGCGGAAGCCUGAUGCAGCAACGCCGCGUGCGGGAUGACGGCCUUCGGGUUGUAAACCGCUUUCGCCUGUGACGAAGCGUGAGUGACGGUAAUGGGUAAAGAAGCACCGGCUAACUACGUG